AACGAACGCUGGCGGCAGGCUUAACACAUGCAAGUCGAGCGCGUAGCAAUACGAGCGGCAGACGGGUGAGUAACGCGUGGGAAUCUACCGUACCCUACGGAAUAGCUCUGGGAAACUGGAAGUAAUACCGUAUACGCCCUAACGGGGAAAGAUUUAUCGGGGUAUGAUGAGCCCGCGUUGGAUUAGCUAGUUGGUGGGGUAAAGGCCUACCAAGGCGACGAUCCAUAGCUGGUCUGAGAGGAUGAUCAGCCACAUUGGGACUGAGACACGGCCCAAACUCCUACGGGAGGCAGCAGUGGGGAAUAUUGGACAAUGGGCGCAAGCCUGAUCCAGCCAUGCCGCGUGAGUGAUGAAGGUCUUAGGAUUGUAAAGCUCUUUCACCGAUGAAGAUAAUGACGGUAGUCGGAGAAGAAGCCCCGGCUAACUUCGUGCCAGCCGCCGCCGUAA
rnacentral:rRNA from 1 species